AACGAACGCUGGCGGCAUGCCUAACACAUGCAAGUCGAACGAGACCUUCGGGUCUAGUGUCGCACGGGUGCGUAACGCGUGGGAACCUGCCCUUAGGUUCGGAAUAACUCCCCGAAAGGGGUGCUAAUACCGGAUAAUGUCUUCGGACCAAAGAUUUAUCGCCUUGGGAUGGGCCCGCGUUGGAUUAGCUAGUUGGUAGGGUAAAAGCCUACCAAGGCGACGAUCCAUAGCUGGGCUGAGAGGAUGAUCAGCAACACUGGGACUGAGACACGGCCCAGACUCCUACGGGAGGCAGCAGUGGGGAAUAUUGGACAAUGGGCGAAAGCCUGAUCCAGCAAUGCCGCGUGAGUGAUGAAGGCCUUAGGGUUGUAAAGCUCUUUUACCCGGGAUGAUAAUGACAGUACCGGGAGAAUAAGCUCCGGCUAACUCCGU
rnacentral:rRNA from 1 species